CCGCCGAAGGCCCAGCUGCAGCAGCUGUCGAAGGAGAAGCAGAGCGUGGAGGCGGAGCUUCAACGCUGCCAGGAGGCGGAGCGAGAAGCCAUCGAUAGAGUUCGCAGGUUGGAGCGUCUGGUCGAGGUGUUGAGGAAGAAAGUCGGGACAGGAAACCUUCGAUCUGUCAUCUGAUGUUUUGUUUUGUUUUAAUCAAACUUUUUUUUUUUUUCUUGUUUUAAAUCUUUUAUUUCUUUUUUGUAUCUUUUUAUCUUCAGAUAUUUAAAAACCAAAAAUGUUUCUUUGAGGCCUCAAACUUCAGUUUAGUUUUGUGAUUUAAUGUAGUUUCUGUUUUCUAAUAAAACACAUUUAUGCAUCAUUGUUUGUGUAAAAUGAGGAAUCAGCUGUUUGAUGUUUGAUCUUUUAUCAUAUUUUCAUGUUUAUUCUUCUCUGUUCUCAUUAAAUCUCAAACUGUUCAUGAGUCCAAUGUUUUUCUGAUUGAAUCUGACGUGAUUUGGAUUUUUAUGCGUAAAAAUAAAAAAAAACAUAAAACUGA